rnacentral:rRNA from 1 species
CCAGUGAGUGGCGGACGGGUGAGUAACACGUAUGUAACCUGCCCUAUGCAGGGGGAUAACCCGGAGAAAUCCGGCCUAAUACCGCGUAACACCUUAGGGGAGCAUUCUCUUGAGGUUAAGGGAGAGAUCCGGCAUAGGAUGGACAUGCGUCGCAUUAGGUAGACGGCGGGGUAACGGCCCACCGUGCCGACGAUGCGUAGGGGUUCUGAGAGGAAGGCCCCCCACACUGGUACUGAGACACGGACCAGACUCCUACGGGAGGCAGCAGUGAGGAAUAUUGGUCAAUGGCCGAGAGGCUGAACCAGCCAAGUCGCGUGAGGGAAGAAUGUCCUAAGGAUUGUAAACCUCUUUUGUCGGGGAGCAAAAAGGCUCUGCGGAGUCGUAUUGAGAGUACCCGAAGAAAAAGCAUCGGCUAACUCCGUGCCAGCAGCCGCGGUAAUACGGAGGAUGCGAGCGUUAUCCGGAUUUAUUGGGUUUAAAGGGUGCGCAGGCGGCGUGUCAAGCAAGCGGUAAAAUAGCGGGGCUCAACCCCGUCGAGCCGUUUGAACUGGCGCGCUUGAGUUCAGGCGAGGUAGGCGGAAUUCGUGGUGUAGCGGUGAAAUGCAUAGAUAUCACGAAGAACUCCGAUUGCGAAGGCAGCUUACCAGUCUGCGACUGACGCUCAGGCACGAAAGUGUGGGUAUCGAACAGAAUUAGAUACCCUGGUAGUCCACACAGUAAACGAUCAGCGAUGGGUGUCCGGGUCGCAUGAGAACUUGGGUGCCCGAGCGAAAGCGUUAAGCGCUCCCCCUGGGGAGUACGCCGGCAACGGUGAAACUCAAAGGAAUUGACGGGGGCCCGCACAAGCGGAGGAACAUGUGGGUUUAAUUCGAUGAUACGCGAGGAACCUUACCCGGGCUCAAACGACUCAGGAAUAUAUUGGAAACGAUGUAGCCAGCAAUGGUCUGAGUCGAGGUGCUGCAUGGUUGUCGUCAGCUCGUGCCGUGAGGUGUCGGCUUAAGUGCCAUAACGAGCGCAACCCCUACCGCCAGUUGCCAACGGGUAAAGCCGGGAACUCUGGCGGGACUGCCGGCGCAAGCUGCGAGGAAGGCGGGGAUGACGUCAAAUCAGCACGGCCCUUACGUCCGGGGCGACACACGUGUUACAAUGGCAGGUACAGCGGGAAGCCACCUGGUGACAGGGAGCGGAACCCGAAAGCCUGUCUCAGUUCGGAUUGGAGUCUGCAACUCGACUCCAUGAAGCUGGAUUCGCUAGUAAUCGCGCAUCAGCCAUGGCGCGGUGAAUACGUUCCCGGGCCUUGCACUCACCGCCCGUCAAG